UGAAUUGGACCUACGCAGAGAAGCACA
rnacentral:piRNA from 1 species